AUCUAACUGACGAGUCCAAAAUAGGACGAAACUCGCGUCCUAGAU
rfam:Schistosoma curassoni strain Dakar, Senegal genome assembly, scaffold: SCTD_contig0000089